rnacentral:lncRNA from 1 species
UUAACUUUAACUUAAAAACAAAUUUAACCCAACUCUCACAUUCACACGCGCUUACAACACUUUACCAGCAGCCACAUCCCACAAACCCCUAACACCCAAAUACCCCCAAUUCCGUAGGAUGUCGCCGUCUGCCUCACGGCCUGGCCUAAGCCUCGUGUCCAAGCCUCGAUCUAAGUCGGUCUAUGUCGUUGCGCGCUGAACGCCUCGAUCUGAGUCGGUCGCUGCCGCUGCACGCUGCACGCCUCGAUCUGAGUAAGUUGCUGCCGCUACACGCUCGAUCUGAGUCAGUUGCUGUCGAAUCCUCGCCAUCGAAGAAGCCUCUUGCUGUCGAAUCCUCGCCAUCGGAGAAGCCUCGUCUAAGCACUUUAAUUAAAAUGGUAUUGGCAAGCCUUGUUGAAUCCUUUGGCCUUUGUUGAUUCAAUUUAGUUUAAUUUUGAAUAAAUUUCUUUGCUGAUUCGUUUCAUCACUUUAAUUAAAUGCAUUAAUUUUCAAUAUAAUGUAAAUGUUUAAUAGGUUUUGGGAUUAAGUUUUAAUUUGGAAAAUUGUUGAAUUUUUAAAUUAAAAAUUUAAAUCAAAUCUUGGUGAAACCUGUUGUCAUAUGCUGAUACGUCACUGUACAGUAAAAUUUGUUUAUUCAAAAUUUAAAUUAUGAGUUCGAAUUUGAUGCAGAAUGGGCAACCAGCCUACUGCAAACAAAUCUUCUGGAACAGUUCAGAUGAAGGGACAGCCAAUCCAGCAAAACAGCAACUGUUGUGGUUAGCAGAUCAUGUUAUUUUACUACUACAUGUUAACUAUGUUGACUGCAUUAUCUUAUGAAUCUUUUAAUCUGUCAAAUAUUUAUUUCCUGCUUUAAGUUUUUUCCCGUUUAUAACAAAUUUAAUUUCUUGCUCCAUUGCAUUCCAAAUUCCUGUCAAUUUACGAGGGAAAAAGAAAAGAGAGACGAAAUGGGAGAAAAUGGUCAAAUUUGUUAGGGGGGAGAGAGCUGUUCAAGUAGUUUUUGUUCUCGUUUAUUGUCGUGACCCUCUUGUCGCUUCUCUAUGACCUGGAAGUCCGGUCAUAUCGGAUGGGUAAAGUUACCAAAACGGCAUAAUUUUGGGUGAAAUAUCAUAUUUAUGUAACACUUUUGAUAAUAUUUUUAUGCAACAAAAAAAUGUUCGCUGUACCCUUUUCACAUUGUGAAGCGCAUGAUCGGAUGAGAGCAGUCUGGAUUCUGGCAUCACAAGCGAAUGCUUUGAUUUGCUUAGUUUGUUUUUUGUUUCUGAUAUUUUCUUGGCAUUGGGUGGGAUAUUGUUUCUCUUUUGAGUUUCCCUUUUUUUUUUAUUAUUAUGGAAUUUGGAGAUAGUGUACAUGUAUGAAGAAGACGUAAUCAAGUUGUUUUGAUAAAUUCCCCUGGUCGGUUUACUUCACUAACCAUUAAUGCGCAAAACCUCCUAAUGACCCUAAAAAAUCCCGUACAUAAUUAAAGAAUUUCAAUUUAAUAUGUACAAAAAUAAAUAACUCUCAAAUAUAUUAUUUGAUAAUUCUAAAAACAACAAUUCGCUCUAAUAAAUCUCGUAGGAAAUAUAUAGUCUAUAUUGUAAGUCUUUUCGAG